rnacentral:rRNA from 1 species
GACGAACGCUGGCGGCGUGCUUAACACAUGCAAGUCGAGCGGAGCGGCGAACGGGUGAGUAACGCGUGAGUAACUGCCCCCCUCUCUGGGAUAACAGUUGUAAACGGCUCCUAAUACCGGAUAGUGGGGGAUGACUCGCGUCCUAUCAGCUUCUUGGUGGGGUAGUGGCCUCCCAAGGCGACGACGGGUAGCCGGACUGAGAGGGCGCCCGGCCACAUUGGGCUGAGAUACGGCCCAAACUCGUACGGGGGGCAGCGGGGGGGAAUAUUGCGCAAUGGGGGAAACCGUGAUGAAGCGACGCCGCGUGCGGGAUGACGGCUUUCGGGUUGGAAACCGCUUUCAGCCAUGACGCGGUAGUGGCAGAAGAAGCACCGGCUAACUACGUGCCAGCAGCCGCGGUAAUAC